AUGAAAGGGAUGAUGUUGAUCGUUAUUGAGUUUGUUUCUGAUAUAGAUGACAAUGACUGGGAAAAGUUUCACUCAUUUCUCAUAAAAAUUGGAAGAGGAAGCAAGAUCAUCAUUGUAAGUAGAAUUAAAAGAUUGGCCCGGUUUGCAUCGGUGAAGCCAAUUUUCUUAAGUGCUCUAUCUCACGAUGAGUUGAGGUACCUUUUCAAGAUAAUGGCAUUCGGAAGUGUAGACCCGACAGAACAUCCACGACUACUUCAGCUCGCGGAUGAAUUUGCCAAGGUGUUGCAUAGUAUGCAAGCUUCACUUGUCGAAACAACUGUGUUUGCAGAUGCGUUAAGAAGGAGUCUGGAUGUCCAAUCUUGGUGUGGCAUAUUGGACACGGGGAUAAGAUUCCUUAAAAGGAACCUCUCCUUGUAUGGUAUGCAGCCAAGAAUAGCGCUCCUAGAACAAGGCCAUCCAGUGGACAUAACGGACGUUACUUCUCAUCCACACAUCAUAGCACCUUAUACAAUGAAUGCUUCGAUCGAGAAACCGCAAAGUGUGACUGCUACGGAACUUCUAACAGAUCCUAGUGUUAGACCAAAAGGAGACUUCAUUCUCAUUUUAUGGGAAUCAAGGAUACCCCCGCACGAAUCAUUUGUAUAUUUUGUUACAAGUCGUGCUCAGGAUACACAUCAUGGUAGCACCUUGCCAGGGAGGAAGCGACGAGGAGUGCCGGUCUAA
rnacentral:rRNA from 1 species